rnacentral:rRNA from 1 species
GACGAACGCUGGCGGCGUGCUUAACACAUGCAAGUCGAACGAUGAAGAAAAGAAUCGAAGCUUCGGCAGAAAUUCAUUUCGGAUUAGUGGCAGACGGGUGAGUAACGCGUGAGCAACCUACCUCUUACAAAGGGAUAGCCUCGGGAAACCGGGAUUAAUACCAUAUAACAUUGUGACGAAGCAUUUCGAUGCAAUCAAAGCUACGGCGGUAAGAGAUGGGCUCGCGUCCCAUUAACCGGAUGGUGAGGUAACGGCUCACCAUAGUGACGAUGGGUAACCGGCUUGAGAGGGUGAACGGUCACACUGGAACUGAGACACGGUCCAGACUCCUACGGGAGGCAGCAGUGGGGAAUAUUGCACAAUGGAGGGAACUCUGAUGCAGCGACGCCGCGUGAGUGAUGAAGGAAUUCGUUUCGUAAAACUCUGUUCUAUGGGAAGAAAAGGACUGUACCAUAGGAGAAAGCUCCGGCUAAAUACGUG